rnacentral:sRNA from 1 species
GCCAGGUGCAGUGGCAUACGCCUGUAAUCCAGUGGCUCAGGAGGCUGAGGCAGGAGGAUUGCGAGUUCAAAGCCAGCCUCAGCAAAAAUGAUACGCUAAGCAACUCAGUGAAACCCUGUCUCUA